GACGUAGGGUGCGAGCGUUGUCCGGAUUUAUUGGGCGUAAAGAGCUCGUAGGCGGCUCGUCGCGUCAGCUGUGAAAACCCGCGGCUUAACCGUGGGCUUGCAGCUGAUACGGGCGGGCUAGAGUUCGGUAGGGGAGACUGGAAUUCCUGGUGUAGCGGUGAAAUGCGCAGAUAUCAGGAGGAACACCGGUGGCGAAGGCGGGUCUCUGGGCAGUAACUGACGCUGAGGAGCGAAAGCGUGGGGAGCGAACAGG
rnacentral:rRNA from 1 species